rnacentral:rRNA from 1 species
AGCGAACGCUGGCGGCAGGCCUAACACAUGCAAGUCGAGCGCCCCGCAAGGGGAGCGGCAGACGGGAGAGUAACACGUGGGAACGUACCCUUCAGUUCGGAACAACCAAGGGAAACUUUGGCUAAUACCGAAUACGUCCGUAAGGAGAAAGAUUUAUCGCUGAAGGAUCGGCCCGCGUCUGAUUAGCUAGUUGGUGGGGUAAUGGCCCACCAAGGCGACGAUCAGUAGCUGGUCUGAGAGGAUGAUCAGCCUCACUGGGACUGAGACACGGCCCAGACUCCUCCGGGAGGCAGCAGUGGGGAAUAUUGGACAAUGGGCGCAAGCCUGAUCCAGCCAUGCCGCGUGGAUGAUGAAGGCCCUAGGGUUGUAAAGUCCUUUCGGCGGGGAAGAUAAUGACGGUACCCGCAGAAGAAGCCCCGGCUAACUUCGUGCCAGCCGCCGCUGUAACAC